rnacentral:lncRNA from 1 species
UUACAUUUAUUUCUCUACAGUGUUCUGAAUCUUCUAUGUCUGUAAAUAAAAAUAACUACAGAUGGGAAAGAAAUAUCUAAAUUCAGAGUAAAAAACACAGCAGUAUUGAAACUCCUUCACAUUGAUUAAAUUAAAGGAAUCCUUGUUCUUUUUAUUCUAAUAUAGCCGUAAUGCCUACCUCUUUGAUAUAGUCAAAGGUAUUGAGAGGCAAAUUGUCCACUUUAUUAUUAGCAUAUAAUGGCCUUUCUUCAUUUCUAUGACACCCUGUGUUGGCCAGCAGUACUAGACAGUACACCUGCACCUUUGGCUCCAAAACAUCAUGUAUGUGGUCUCUGAAGCAUCAAGCAGAAAUGACUGCCCUGGGCUGGAGCAGAGUAGGAGAAGUAUGGAGGAGCAUAUCUCGGCUCAGCGUUCGCCUGAGAUGGGGAUUUAUUGGAAGAAACCAUCCCUAUGCGUGAGGACAAUCCAAAGAGAAAGUGAGAGAGCCUUAGUGUGGGCAGAGGCGAAGCUGUGUGAGACAGCUCAUCAACCGGGGGUGGGGGGAAAGCAGGCCCCGAGAAGAGAGGCCACUCCUGGCAGCUGGGCGAAGCCAGCUCCCUUGUCCCUCCUUAGUAUGUGCAAGACUCCCCGUGAUAGCCUCAGCUCAAAUCGCAAGCCAAGAAAGACACGGGUAGUACUGUGACUAAGGCCCGACCCGUGGGCUUCUGAACCACCGCUGGCAAUCAGCAGGUUUGCAUAGGAAGGCGUCACCCUGGCCCACCACCUGUCUGUCAGUCAGGUGACCGCGGCUGCGUGUGCCUAAGGCUGCUUCCUCUAAAGCAGCUGACAAAUAGCCUUCUAAAUUACAUUUUGAAAAACUGUAAUGAAUGACAAUGUGAAAAAUGAACUGUCAGAUCAGGCUGGGCAGGCAGCAACCAAAGUUGGCAGAUUUAAAAGGGCCGCUGAACAGGCUAAAUUGAGAUAUCACUCCCGGGCGGAACUCGAUCAGACCCACAGAGGGGACAGGGGAAGGGUCUGAGGAGAAACCGAGUGGAAGUGCCAUUAAGUCGCCACCAAGUCGCUGCCACCGACCUAACAUGAACAUUACCU